GAUGAACGCUAGCGAUAGGCUUAACACAUGCAAGUCGAGGGGCAGCACAAGGUAGCUUGCUAUCUGGGUGGCGACCGGCGCACGGGUGCGUAACGCGUAUGCAACUUGCCCUAUACAGGAGGAUAACCCGUCGAAAGACGGACUAAUACUGCGUAUGCUCACAACUUGGCAUCAAGUGGUGAGGAAAGAAAUUCGGUAUAGGAUAGGCAUGCGUCCCAUUAGCUUGUUGGUGAGGUAACGGCUCACCAAGGCAACGAUGGGUAGGGGAACUGAGAGGUUUAUCCCCCACACGGGUACUGAGAACCGGACCAGACACCUACGGGAGGCAGCAGUAAGGAAUAGUGGUCAAGGGGCGCGAGCCUGAACCGGCCAAGUCGCGUGAAGGAUGACUGUCCUAGGGAUUGUAAACUUCUUUUAUACGGGAAUAACAAGAGUCACGUGUGACUCCCUGCAUGUACCGUAUGAAUAAGCAUCGGCUAACUCCGUG
rnacentral:rRNA from 1 species